UGGAGGCGGCGCGAGGUCCGGGAGGCGGCUCUAGGGUGGAGAUCCGAGAAACAGCAUAUCUCCAGCCGCCGCCGCUCUCAUCCCGCCCUUGGUUGCCGCCGGUCUCCAUCCCACUUCAGCCGCCGCCAGUCUCCAUCCCGUCCUCAGCCGCCGGCGGUCUCCAUCCCGCUUCAGCCGCCGACGGUCUCCAUCCCGCUUCAGCCGCCGCCGCUCUCCUUCCCGCUCUCCAUCCCGCCCAGUCGCCGGCGCUCGCCAUCUCUCCUUCCUCGCUUCGGAUUCACCAGUUGCGGGAGAGGGCGAGGUCGAGGGCAACAGCCCGGACACCAAGAAGCAGGAGAGGCACAGGCGUGUGGGGUUGGCAAAAGUAAAGCUGAAGGAGUUGAUAUUACCCAAGGUAUUUGAGAAAAAACUAAAUACAGUUGUACUUACAUUUGCCUAAUAUGAAGCAUUUAAUCUUGCCCUGCAUAUUUAUACUAGAGUAACAGAAGUAAUUUGAA
rnacentral:lncRNA from 1 species